ACCACGACUCUCGACAA
rnacentral:rRNA from 2 species